rnacentral:lncRNA from 1 species
GCAGUUCGGUAGCAGAACACGAACGGACGGACGCGUGUGUGGGGGAUUUGGCGCAAGUUAGAGGGUUUUUUCCCGUGAGGUUUCAGUGAAAGUUGCAGAAGGAAGGGAUUUACACAUAAAGAAGGUUUAUGGGUUUCUUAUGUGUGUGAGGGCUUCUGGUUUGCAGCAUUUGAGGCUGGAAAGGGUUUAUGGGUUUUGAUAGAUAAGGUUAUGGAUUCCAAAUUCGAUUCAUAUUUGAGUUAAAAAGGUUUACGGGUUUCGUAUAGUUUGUGAGUGGAGAUGUUUCAACCUUGCUGGUAGUUUCAAUUGAUUUUGCACUUGAUUUCUUGUUUUCCAGGAAAAGUUAUUGUGAACGCGUAGGUUUAGCGUAUAAUAGUUUUAACUUCUUUUUAUUAUUAAAC